UUGGGAGCUCUCCCAUAUGGUCGACCUGCAGGCGGCCGCGAAUUCACUAGUGAUUCGUAUUACCGCGGCUGCUGGCACGGAGUUAGCCGGAGCUUAUUCUCCCGGUACUGUCAUUAUCAUCCCGGGUAAAAGAGCUUUACAACCCUAAGGCCUUCAUCACUCACGCGGCAUUGCUGGAUCAGGCUUUCGCCCAUUGUCCAAUAUUCCCCACUGCUGCCUCCCGUAGGAGUCUGGGCCGUGUCCCAGUCCCAGUGUGGCUGAUCAUCCUCUCAGACCAGCUAAGGAUCGUCGCCUUGGUGCGCCUUUACCACACCAACUAGCUAAUCCUACGCGGGCUCAUCCCUCGGCGAUAAAUCUUUGGACUUACGUCGUCAUCCGGUAUUAGCAGUCAUUUCUAACUGUUAUUCCGAACCAAGGGGCAGAUUCCCACGCGUUACGCACCCGUGCGCCACUAAGGCCGAAGCCUUCGUUCGACUUGCAUGUGUUAGGCAUGCCGCCAGCGUUCGUUCUGAGCCAUGAUCAAACUCUAAUCGAAUUCCCGCGGCCGCCAUGGCGGCCGG
rnacentral:rRNA from 1 species